CACUGGUGUUCGGGUUGUCAUGCCAAUGGCACUGCCCGGUAGCUAAAUGCGGAAGAGAUAAGUGCUGAAAGCAUCUAAGCACGAAACUUGCCCCGAGAUGAGUUCUCCCUGAGACUUUAAGUCUCCUGAAGGAACGUUAAAGACGAUGACGUUGAUAGGCCGGGUGUGUAAGCGCAGCGAUGCGUUGAGCUAACCGGUACUAAUGAACCGUGAGGCUUAACCUU
rnacentral:rRNA from 1 species